rnacentral:rRNA from 1 species
AUUGAACGCUGGCGGCAUGCUUUACACAUGCAAGUCGAACGGUAACAGGCCGCAAGGUGCUGACGAGUGGCGAACGGGUGAGUAAUGCAUCGGAACGUGCCCAGUCGUGGGGGAUAACGCAGCGAAAGCUGCGCUAAUACCGCAUACGAUCUAUGGAUGAAAGCGGGGGACCGUAAGGCCUCGCGCGAUUGGAGCGGCCGAUGUCAGAUUAGGUAGUUGGUGGGGUAAAGGCUCACCAAGCCAACGAUCUGUAGCUGGUCUGAGAGGACGACCAGCCACACUGGGAAUGAGACACGGCCCAGACUCCUACGGGAGGCAGCAGUGGGGAAUUUUGGACAAUGGGCGCAAGCCUGAUCCAGCAAUGCCGCGUGCAGGAAGAAGGCCUUCGGGUUGUAAACUGCUUUUGUCAGGGAAGAAGCGGUCUGGAUUAAUACCCUGGGCUAAUGACGGUACCGUAAGAAUAAGCACCGGCUAACUACGUGCCAGCCGCCGCGGUAAAAC